UGGCUCAGGAUGAACGCUGGCGGCGUGCUUAACACAUGCAAGUCGAACGAUGAUCCCCAGCUUGCUKGGGGGAUUAGUGGCGAACGGGUGAGUAACACGUGAGUAACCUGCCCUUGACUCUGGGAUAAGCCUGGGAAACUGGGUCUAAUACCGGAUAUGACCUUCCAUCGCAUGGUGGUUGGUGGAAAGCUUUUGUGGUUUUGGAUGGACUCGCGGCCUAUCAGCUUGUUGGUGGGGUAAUGGCUUACCAAGGCGACGACGGGUAGCCGGCCUGAGAGGGUGACCGGCCACACUGGGACUGAGACACGGCCCAGACUCCUACGGGAGGCAGCAGUGGGGAAUAUUGCACAAUGGGCGCAAGCCUGAUGCAGCGACGCCGCGUGAGGGAUGACGGCCUUCGGGUUGUAAACCUCUUUCAGUAGGGAAGAAGCGWAAGUGACGGUACCUGCAGAAGAAGCGCCGGCUAACUACGUGCCAGCAGCCGCGGUAAUACGUAGGGCGCAAGCGUUAUCCGGAAUUAUUGGGCGUAAAGAGCUCGUAGGCGGUUUGUCGCGUCUGCCGUGAAAGUCCGGGGCUCAACUCCGGAUCUGCGGUGGGUACGGGCAGACUAGAGUGAUGUAGGGGAGACUGGAAUUCCUGGUGUAGCGGUGAAAUGCGCAGAUAUCAGGAGGAAYACCGAUGGCGAAGGCAGGUCUCUGGGCAUUAACUGACGCUGAGGAGCGAAAGCAUGGGGAGCGAACAGGAUUAGAUACCCUGGUAGUCCAUGCCGUAAACGUUGGGCACUAGGUGUGGGGGACAUUCCACGUUUUCCGCGCCGUAGCUAACGCAUUAAGUGCCCCGCCUGGGGAGUACGGCCGCAAGGCUAAAACUCAAAGGAAUUGACGGGGGCCCGCACAAGCGGCGGAGCAUGCGGAUUAAUUCGAUGCAACGCGAAGAACCUUACCAAGGCUUGACAUGAACCGGACCGCUGCAGAAAUGUGGUUUCCCCUUUGGGGCUGGUUUACAGGUGGUGCAUGGUUGUCGUCAGCUCGUGUCGUGAGAUGUUGGGUUAAGUCCCGCAACGAGCGCAACCCUCGUUCUAUGUUGCCAGCACGUGAUGGUGGGGACUCAUAGGAGACUGCCGGGGUCAACUCGGAGGAAGUGGGGACGACGUCAAUCAUCAUGCCCCUUAUGUCUUGGCUUCMCGCAUGCUACAAUGCCGGUACAAAGGUGCGAUACUGUGAGUGGAGCUAAUCCAAAAGCGUCUCAGUCGGAUGGGGUCUGCACUCGACCCC
rnacentral:rRNA from 1 species